rnacentral:rRNA from 1 species
GGGGAAACCAAGAAGGACGCACGGUGCAUGCCUUGCCACUAGCUGAACACAAAGGCAAGCGAGCGGGAACAAACUGAACUGAAACACCUUGAGUAGCGAUAAGGAAGAGAAAGUAAACAACGAUUGCCAAAGUAGUGGCGAGCGAAAUCCCAACAGCCAAAACCUGUUACCAGCAUCUGCCUAAGAAUGUGAGGACAAAGAAGCAGAUAAACUGAAUACAUAUAAGGAGCUGCAAGAAGACAUAAGAAAAAGCCAGAGAAUUAGUAUGCAGCCAAAGAAACGGCAGGAGCGCAAAACGAAGAGUCUACUCAACGAGGUAGUAAGGAAAGCAAAGCGGACGUAAAGAUUAUAGAAGAACUACCUGGAAAGACUAGGCCAAAGAAAGUAAAAGCCGCGUAUACGAAAAAGACGCUAACCCUAUGCAUGUAUCAUCGAGUACGACGAGACACGAGAAACCCUGUCGGAAUCUGGCAGGACCAUCUCCCAACCCUAAAUACAAUCUAGUGACCGAUAGUGAACCAGUACCGUGAGGGAAAGGUGAAAAGAACCCCGGGAGGGGAGUGAAAUAGAACCUGAAACCGUGUGCCUACAACAAGUCAGAGCCCGCUUAAUGGGUGAGGGCGUGCCUUUUGUAGAAUGAACCGGCGAGUUACGUUAUGAAGCGAGGUUAAGUGAAGAGACGGAGCCGCAGGGAAACCGAGUCUGAAUAGGGCGAAUUAGUAUUAUGGAGUAGACCCGAAACCAUGUGACCUACCCAUGAGCAGGUUGAAGGUGCGGUAACACGUGCUGGAGGACCGAACCAGGGCACGUUGAAAAGUGCUUGGAUGACUUGUGGGUAGCGGAGAAAUUCCAAACGAACUUGGAGAUAGCUGGUUCUCUCCGAAAUAGCUUUAGGGCUAGCGUCGUGUUAGUAGCACAUGGAGGUAGAGCUCUGUAAAGGACUGGGGCGGGCAACUGUACCCACCCUUAACAAACUACGAAUACCAUGUGUGUAAUCACGGCAGUUAGAACAUCGGUGCUAAGAUCCGUAGUCGAAAGGGAAACAGCCCAGACCACCAGCUAAGGUCCCUAAAUUAACGUUAAGUGGAAAAGGAUGUGAGAUUGCACAGACAACUAGGAUGUUGGCUUAGAAGCAGCCAUUCAUUUAAAGAGUGCGUAACAGCUCACUAGUCAAGUGACCCUGCGCCGAAAAUGUAACGGGGCUAAAACGUUAUACCGAAGAUAUGGAUGUCAGAUUUAUCUGACGUGGUAGAGGAGCGUUCCUAUCAGCAGUGAAGUCGAAUCGGAAGGUUCGGUGGAGCGGUAGGAAGUGAGAAUGCUGGAAUGAGUAACCAUAAGAGAAGUGAGAAUCCUCUCGGCCGUAAGAACAAGGUUUCCUGAGCCAUGGUAAUCAUCUCAGGGUUAAUCGGGCCUAAGCCGAGGCGCAGAGCGUAGGCGAUGGACAUCAGGUUAAUAUUCCUGGAACCGGUUAAGUUUUGUACACUGUUCACGGGGAAGUAAUCGAAGCGGAUUCAUGGUUUAUCCGUCCAACCGGAGCGGGAACGCAAAGGGAGCGAAAGUGAUUCUUCGGAGUCGCGAUUUUGGUGAAAGCCCUGGCUAGAAAAGCAGGUGUACGCGUGGACUUAGCCGCCCGUACCGCAAACCAACACAGGUACUCGAGGCGAGUAGACUCAGGCUGAGCGAGAGAACCCUCGCUAAGGAACUCAGCAAUACAGCGACCGUAACUUCGGGAAAAGGUCUGCCCCCACUUCGGUGAUAUCAGCCACGUUCACUCAGUGAAUAUUAGGUUAAAGAGUACAUUUUUAAUCACAAAACGAAUUUUCUGAGAUAGAGCAAACGAAUUGUUCUUUUGAACGCGAACCUCUGACAUCUAACGAUAUGGGGGCCGCAGUGAAUAGGCCCAAGCAACUGUUUAUCAAAAACACAGCUCUCUGCUAAAUCGUAAGAUGAUGUAUAGGGGGUGACGCCUGCCCGGUGCUGGAAGGUUAAGAGGAGUGCUUAGCAAGCGAAGGUAUGAAUUGAAGCCCCAGUAAACGGCGGCCGUAACUAUAACGGUCCUAAGGUAGCGAAAUUCCUUGUCGGGUAAGUUCCGACCCGCACGAAAGGCGUAAUGAUUUGGGCACUGUCUCAACGAGGGACUCGGUGAAAUUUUAGUACCUGUGAAGAUGCAGGUUACCCGCGACAGGACGGAAAGACCCCAUGGAGCUUUACUGCAGUUUGAUAUUGAAUACGGUUACAACAUGUACAGGAUAGGUAGGAGACAUUGAAGCAGAUACGCCAGUAUUUGUGGAGUCACCAAGUGGAAUACCACCCUUGUUGUGAUGGUAUUCUAACGCUGACCGUUAUCCGGUUAGCGGACCGUGUAUGGUGGGUAGUUUAACUGGGGCGGUUGCCUCCUAAAGAGUAGCGGAGGCGUUCAAAGGUUGGCUAACUUCGGAUGGAAAUCGAAGUGAUAGUGUAUGCGCAUAAGCCAGCUUGACUGUGAGGAGUACAUUCCAAUCAGAGACGAAAGUCGGAGCAAGUGAUCCGCUGUACGUACAUUUGUACAUGAAUGUGGGAUCGACAGCGCAAACGGAUAAAAGCUACCCUGGGGAUAACAGGCUUAUCUCGCCCAAGAGUUCACAUCGACGGCGAGGUUUGGCACCUCGAUGUCGGCUCGUCGCAUCCUGGGGCUGGAGUAGGUCCCAAGGGUUGGGCUGUUCGCCCAUUAAAGUGGUACGCGAGCUGGGUUCAGAACGUCGUGAGACAGUUCGGUCCCUAUCCGUCGCGGGCGUAGGAAAUUUGAGAGGAUCUGCUCCUAGUACGAGAGGACCGGAGUGGACUUACCGCUGGUGUAUCGAUUGUGGCCACCAGACGCAUUGCCGAGUAGCUAUGUGCGGAAGAGAUAAGCGCUGAAAGCAUAUUAAGCGCGAAACUAACCUCAAGAUAAGGUUUCCCAUGAGGACACAGAAAGACUAUCUGUUUGAUAGGCGCAAGGUGGAAGUACAGUAAUGUAUGGAGCUAAAGCGUACUAAUAGUCCCAUUGCCUUUUUUUA